rnacentral:rRNA from 1 species
UACGUAGGGGGCAAGCGUUGUCCGGAAUUACUGGGCGUAAAGGGCGCGUAGGCGGCAGGCCAAGUCGGGAGUGAAAGCCCGGGGCUCAACCCCGGAAUGUCUUUCGAAACUGGCCAGCUGGAGUGCGGAAGAGGCAACUGGAAUUCCCAGUGUAGCGGUGAAAUGCGUAGAUAUUGGGAAGAACACCUGAGGCGAAGGCGGGUUGCUGGGCCGACACUGACGCUGAGGCGCGAAAGCCAGGGGAGCAAACGGG